rnacentral:misc_RNA from 1 species
GUGAAUCAUCGAAUCUUUGAACGCACAUUGCGCCCCCUGGUAUUCCGGGGGGCAUGCCUGUUCGAGCGUCAUUACAACCCUCAAGCUCUGCUUGGUAUUGGGCUCUGCCGGUCCCGGCAGGCCCUAAAAUCAGUGGCGGUGCCAUCCGGCUUCAAGCGUAGUAAUUCUUCUCGCUUUGGAGGCCCGGGUGCGUGCUUGCCAGCAACCCCCAAUUUUUUUCAGGUUGACCUCGGAUCAGGUAGGGAUACCCGCUGAACUUAAGCAUAUCAAUAAGCGGAGGA